rnacentral:rRNA from 1 species
UAGGGAAUCUUCGGCAAUGGGGGGAACCCUGACCGAGCAACGCCGCGUGAGUGAAGAAGGUUUUCGGAUCGUAAAGCUCUGUUGUUAAGGAAGAACGAGUGUGAGAAUGGAAAGUUCAUACUGUGACGGUACUUAACCAGAAAGGGACGGCUAACUACGUGCCAGCAGCCGCGGUAAUACGUAGGUGGCAAGCGUUGUCCGGAUUUAUUGGGCGUAAAGCGAGCGCAGGCGGUUAGAUAAGUCUGAAGUUAAAGGCAGUGGCUCAACCAUUGUAGGCUUUGGAAACUGUUUAACUUGAGUGCAGAAGGGGAGAGUGGAAUUCCAUGUGUAGCGGUGAAAUGCGUAGAUAUAUGGAGGAACACCGGUGGCGAAAGCGGCUCUCUGGUCUGUAACUGACGCUGAGGCUCGAAAGCGUGGGGAGCGAACAGG